GAGCUCUGUGCCCCUCAAAAACCCAUCCAGAACCAUAGGCAAGGGGUCAAUUUGCUUCAAGCUCACAGCAUCCUCAGGGUGCUGCAAGACUCCGUAAGACCAUCGAAGAACAAAGACUAGGCACAUAUAUCAUACAAUAUCCUCAUUUAACAGAGCAUCAGAUCCUACAUGAAAGCAGGACAUUCAGAAAGGUGUAUCUGAAAUACAGCUUCACCUUUUGAGAGGAAAAGAGGUUAUCUCAGUGCUCUUAGCAGAAAUUGUUUAGGCUGUGGUCUUAUCUACCAUCCAUGAACAUCUGUGCCAGUAAAAGCACAUUUGGACGCUGUCUGCCCAGAGUUUAACAAGCAUUUGUGCUGGAGCAGCAUGGACACUGGGUUCUGCAGGGACAUAAGCAACAUCAUAUGAUGGACCUGCUUUGCUACAACUAACUAUGUGGUAUGCACACUGCCACGCAAAGGAAGCCCAUCUGGAGGGGAUAUCAAAUCAAUCCAUUUUCUUGACAUAUCGGUUCAUGUAAUUAACUUUUGUUUCAUCUCCCAAGUAAACCUUGUAAACAAUAAAACGUGUCAAAGUGAAAUACAA